UGGGGAAUAUUGGACAAUGGAGGAAACUCUGAUCCAGCCAUGCCGCGUGAGUGAUGAAGGCCUUAGGGUUGUAAAACUCUUUCAACGGUGAAGAUAAUGACGGUAACCGUAGAAGAAGCCCCGGCUAACUUCGUGCCAGCAGCCGCGGUAAUACGAAGGGGGCUAGCGUUGUUCGGAAUCACUGGGCGUAAAGCGCGCGUAGGCGGACAGGUAAGUCAGAGGUGAAAUCCCGGGGCUCAACCCCGGAACUGCCUUUGAAACUAUUUGUCUAGAGACUCGGAGGGGAUAGCGGAAUUCCUAAUGUAGGGGUGAAAUCCGUAGAUAUUAGGAGGAACACCAGUGGCGAAGGCGGCUAUCUGGACGAGUACUGACGCUGAGGUGCGAAAGCGUGGGGAGCAAACAGG
rnacentral:rRNA from 1 species